CCUACGGGAGGCUGCAGUCGAGAAUCAUUCACAAUGGGGGAAACCCUGAUGGUGCGACGCCGCGUGGGGGAAUGAAGGUCUUCGGAUUGUAAACCCCUGUCAUGUGGGAGCAAAUUAAAAAGAUAGUACCACAAGAGGAAGAGACGGCUAACUCUGUGCCAGCAGCCGCGGUAAUACAGAGGUCUCAAGCGUUGUUCGGAAUCACUGGGCGUAAAGCGUGCGUAGGCUGUUUCGUAAGUCGUGUGUGAAAGGCGCGGGCUCAACCCGCGGACGGCACAUGAUACUGCGAGACUAGAGUAAGGGAGGGGGAACCGGAAUGCUCGGUGUAGCAGUGAAAUGCGUAGAUAUCGAGAGGAACACUCGUGGCGAAGGCGGGUUCCUGGACAUUAACUGACGCUGAGGCACGAAGGCCAGGGGAGCGAAAGGGAUUAGAUACCCGAGUAGUC
rnacentral:rRNA from 1 species